ensembl:snRNA U5 U5 spliceosomal RNA
UCACUCUUGUUUCUCUUCAGAUCGUACAAAUCUUUCGCCUUUUACUAAAGAUUUCCGUGGAGAGGAACAACAAGAGUAUAUCCCCAUUUUUUUGUCACCCUGCGUUUGUGGGGCU